rnacentral:rRNA from 1 species
UACCAGCACCCCGAGUGGUCGGGACGAUUAUUGGGCCUAAAGCAUCCGUAGCCGGUUUUACAAGUCCUCCGUUAAAUCCAGCUGCUUAACAGAUGGGCUGCGGAGGAUACUAUAAGACUAGGAGGCAGGAGAGGCAAGCGGUACUCAGUGGGUAGGGGUAAAAUCCGUUGAUCCAUUGAAGACCACCAGUGGCGAAGGCGGCUUGCCAGAAUGCGCUCGACGGUGAGGGAUGAAAGCUGGGGGAGCAACCGG